rnacentral:snoRNA from 1 species
ACGGCCUUACUUGAACAGGAUCUGUUCAAUAGGCUCGUACCACUGCAUCCUUUACCAAUAAGGAGGCAAGCACCUCAGUCUGGUUGAUGCAUUCUGACCACUGGGCCAGAGC